rnacentral:rRNA from 1 species
CUCAGAUGAUGCUGCGUAUGCUAUACAUGCUAGUCGAACGGAAACGAAACUAGCUUGCUAGUAGGCGUCGAGUGGCGGACGGGUGAGUAACGCGUAGGAAUCUGCCUGAUAGUGGGGGAUAGCCCGAAGAAAUUCGGAUUAAUACCGCAUAAUCUAUUCGUAGUAAAGUGAGGGACUUUCGAGCCUCACGCUAUCAGAUGAGCCUGCGUAAGAUUAGCUUGUUGGUAGGGUAAAAGCCUACCAAGGCAACGAUCUUUAGCUGGUCUGAGAGGAUGAUCAGCCACAUCGGGACUGAGACACGGCCCGAACUCCUACGGGAGGCAGCAGUGGGGAAUAUUGGACAAUGGGGGCAACCCUGAUCCAGCAAUACCGCGUGUGUGAAGAAGGCCUGAGGGUUGUAAAGCACUUUCAAUUGUGAAGAAAAGUUAACGGUUAAUAACCGUUGACCUUGACGUUAACUUUAGAAGAAGCACCGGCUAACUCCGUGCCAGCAGCCGCGGUAAUACGGAGGGUGCAAGCGUUAAUCGGAAUUACUGGGCGUAAAGCGUGCGUAGGCGGUUUAUUAAGUCAGAUGUGAAAGCCCCGGGCUUAACCUGGGAACUGCAUUUGAAACUGGUCAACUAGAGUAUGGUAGAGGAAAGUGGAAUUUCUGGUGUAGCGGUGAAAUGCGUAGAUAUCAGAAGGAACAUCAAUGGCGAAGGCAGCUUUCUGGACCAAUACUGACGCUGAGGUACGAAAGCGUGGGUAGCAAACAGGAUUAGAUACCCUGGUAGUCCACGCCGUAAACGAUGAUAACUAGCCGUUGGGGGGAUUUACCCUUUAGUGGCGAAGCUAACGCGUUAAGUAUCCGCCGGGG